ensembl:snRNA
GUAUUGUAUGAAAGGAGAGAAGGUUAGCAUUCCCCUUGAAAAGAAUGGAAGAGGUCCUCGUCCUGACAAGCAUAUGAUCAAGCCAUUGCCACCUAUUUUGUGGAAUCUAACCAUCAUUUUUC